rnacentral:misc_RNA from 1 species
AAAGCAAGGCUCAAGCAAUUCUCUAUGAUGAACAAGCUAAAGAAAAGAGCUUUAAGGGUGAUUGCUGAGCAUUUGACAGUGGACGAAGUGGCUGGAAUAAAGGAGGGAUUCCAAUUGAUGGAUAUAAGUAACAAAGGGAAGAUUGACGUUAACGAGUUGAGAGUUGGGUUGCAGAAACUUGGCCAUCAAAUUCCCGAAUCUGAUGUACAGAUUCUUAUGGAUGUUGGUGAUGUCGAUAAAGAUGGAUUUUUGGACUACGGGGAAUUUGUAGCAAUUUCAGUCCAUCUAAGAAAGAUGGCAAAUGAGGAGCACCUGAAGAAGGCAUUUGAUUUUUUUGAUAGGAACCAAAAUGGAUAUAUAGAGAUUGAGGAAUUAAGGGAAGCCUUAGAUGACGAGAUUGAAACCAACAGUGAAGAAGUUAUCAAUGCUAUUAUGCAAGAUGUAGACACUGACAAGGAUGGACGGAUAAGUUACGAUGAAUUCUCUACUAUGAUGAAGGCUGGAACAGAUUGGAGGAAGGCAUCAAGACAGUAUUCACGAGAACGAUAUAAUAGUCUCAGUUUGAAACUGAUGAAGGAUGGAUCCUUACAAAGCUAAUUAAGUAAAGCCAAAAUAUGACAUCUUGAGUAAGUACUAGAACUCAGCUUUUGGCUUUCUAAAUUCGUCCUUUCUUUCCUGUUCACCCAUCGAUCUGCCAUUUUUUAUUUCGUCUCUGUAUUUUUUCUUCUGAGGGUGGAUCAAUUAACUUGGGGACGACUGCAACAUUCAUGUGUUCUUUGAGUUGUAAUCAUGUUGUGUCAUUUUCUUUUUGCUUUUCGUUUGGACAAUCCGAGAAAAUAUGGUGAAGGGUAGAAAGGUGAUUAUUGUGGUUGUAUAUAGGUUGGCAUCGUAUGCUUCAACUGUUCAGUUAUGGAUACCAG